rnacentral:tRNA from 1 species
CGCAGACAGGGCAACUGGUAAGCCGCGUGGCUCAUAACUACGAAAGAACCGGGUUCGAUUCCCGGGGCGCA